CGGGGGGUUGACUGGAAGGCACUGAGAGCCCCGGGAAGUGGUGAAUGCCCCAUCCCUGGCAGUGUUCAAGGCCAGGUUGGACACAGGGGCUUGGAGCAAGCUGCUCCAGUGGAAGGGGUCCCUGCCCGUGGCAGGGGUUGGAACUGGGUGAGCUUUGAGGUUCUUUUCAACCCAACCCAUUUCAUGACAUGAUAUAUUUGAUAGCAAGAGCACUGAGCCAUGCAGGACAUUGCUAGGGAUAAAUAGGUGCCGCAAGAGUCAACUUCUGGGGGUGUUAGAGAUUGCUGUGUUGGAUAAGGUGCAGGACUAAAUAAGGGAUAUUCCUAACCACUGUGAAACAGCGAUGCAUCAUGGACAGAAGGUUAUUCUGUGUUGUCAUUGCUGUGUUAGUUGGUAGAGCUUUCUAGAUUUCAGUGGCAACCACUGUAUUGUAAGAAGGCACUUAUCACAAAGAGUCUCAGCCUCAACCGGUUUAGGUGAUGUUUAAUGUCAAGGAUUUCAGCAACGAAGACAAUUUGCCUACAAAACUGGAGUGUGUGGUUGUUAACUGCAGUGGAAAGAUGGCAAGGAAACCUUAUUGCUGGAUUUUCAGAUCACAAAAUUGCACUCUCUGAAGCGCUUGCAACUACCCAGCUUGCAAAGCUGGCAGUUAAUGACCCUGUACUGCUUCAGCAUAUAACCAUACUUACCAGGCUGAGAAGAAACCUGUGUGCCCAGGGCAAGGAUGGAGCUAAAUGGGUUGCAAACAUGUGUUUCAUAUCAGCUUGUCUGGGAGCUUACUGGCCUGAAUAAUGUUCGGGGGGUGACUGGUGUGUGAAAGCUGUGUUACUGAUGGGUAUUCCAAAUGGAUGUUAAUGGGGUGUCCUUCAAACCGUGAGCCUGUUGGCUGUUCGGUUGAAGGCUGGCACAUGUCCUGACAGGGUGUUAUUUCUAUGUGCUUUAAACAAAGAGAGAUGCUGUGUGAAUAACCCCUCACCACUGGAAAGAAAAAAAGGUUCUGAAAGGAAAAUGUGGGGGAAAAAUAAAAAAAAAGAGGAGGAAAAGCUGAAAAAAAAUGUAACUUUUUCCAAAAUGCUUUAUUUUCUGACGUAAAUCAAUGCUGUGGACAAAUCUAAAAAAGUUUUAUGAGUGAAAUAAAACCAAUAUCUCUUCCUUUA